UACGAGGGGGGUGAGCGUUGUUCGGAAUUAUUGGGCGUAAAGGGUGCGUAGGCGGUUUGGUAAGUCUGAUGUGAAAUCUAUGGGCUCAACUCAUAGUCUGCAUCGGAAACUGCCGGGCUUGAGUGUGGGAGAGGUGAGUGGAAUUCCUGGUGUAGCGGUGAAAUGCGUAGAUAUCAGGAGGAACACCUGUGGCGAAAGCGGCUCACUGGACCAUAACUGACGCUGAUGCACGAAAGCUAGGGGAGCAAACAGG
rnacentral:rRNA from 1 species